UACGAAGGGGGCUAGCGUUGCUCGGAUUGACUGGGCGUAAAGGGCGCGUAGGCGGUUCGUACAGUCAGACGUGAAAUUCCUGGGCUCAACCUGGGGGCUGCGUUUGAUACGUGCGGACUUGAGUGCGGAAGAGGCGAGUGGAAUUCCCGGUGUAGCGGUGAAAUGCGCAGAUAUCGGGAGGAACACCGAUGGCGAAGGCAGAUCUCUGGGCCGUUACUGACGCUGAGGAGCGAAAGCGUGGGGAGCGAACAGG
rnacentral:rRNA from 1 species